AAAGGAUUGAGAGAACUUGAAGAUUUUCAAAGAGCUUGAAUUCGAAAAGGAGUUUCAAUAAAAUAUUUUUGAAUCAGCUAAGGAGCUAGGCGAAGAAGCUAGUUGAUUGUAAUUUAUUGGAAGACGCGUUAUGCAUACUAGAAUUGACGAAACUUGCUAAAUGCGUUGAGACUACUCUGCAUAGUUGCAACUUGGCAAAAGAGUGUGGUAAAUGCUUGAGUUGUGGAAAUGUGUUGAUAAAAGAUCCCACUUCGCUAGACAUUUUCCUUUAAUCUUUCAAAUCUUUUGUUUUAUUCCCCCUCCCCCAGAUAGUGAAGGACAUCUAGCGUCGAAUUUGCAGUCUUGAUUGCCUACUAUGUCAUCUAUGUGAACGCAUCAUUUUGGUAGUUACCACAGUUAACUCGCAUAGCAUGUAGAAGUUAGGCAAGAAGAGUCCAAUUGUCAUUUUGAGUUGUGUAUAGUUUGUAUGAAGGGAACUUUGUACCAGGUAUCAAAUGUAUUCUGUUACUUAAAAUAUCAAUGAAGUAGUCUUCUUAUUUCA